rnacentral:rRNA from 1 species
AUUCCAGCUCCAAUAGCGUAUAUUAAAGUUGUUGCGGUUAAAAAGCUCGUAGUUGGAUUUCUGCUGAAGCAAACCGGUCCGCCCUCUGGGUGAGCAUCUGGCUUUAUUUUGGCAUAUGCUUAGACUUUGCAGCUGCACUUGACUGUGUGGUGUGAAGGCUAAGCCAUUUACUUUGAGGAAAUCAGAGUGUUUCAAGCAGGCAAUUGCCUUGAAUACACUAGCAUGGAAUAAUAUGAUAUGACUGUGGUUUUAUUUUGUUGGCUUCUAGAAUUAGAGUAAUGGUUAAUAGGGAUAGUUGGGGGCAUUCAUAUUUAACUGUCAGAGGUGAAAUUCUUGGAUUUGUUAAGGAUGAACGACUGCGAAAGCAUUUGCCAAGGAUGCUUUCAUUA